UACGUAGGGGGCUAGCGUUGUCCGGAUUUAUUGGGCGUAAAGAGCUCGUAGGCGGUUCGGUAAGUCAGGUGUGAAAUCUCCACGCUCAACGUGGAGGCGCCACCUGAAACUGCCGUGACUCGAGUCCGGUAGGGGAGUGUGGAAUUCCUGGUGUAGCGGUGAAAUGCGCAGAUAUCAGGAGGAACACCGGUGGCGAAGGCGGGUCUCUGGGCAACAACUGACGCUGAGGAGCGAAAGCGUGGGGAGCGAACAGG
rnacentral:rRNA from 1 species